rnacentral:rRNA from 1 species
UGCGUAGGCGGUUAUAUUAGUCGGGUGUUAAAACUUGGGGCUCAACCUCAAGAUCGCAUUCGAAACGGUAUAACUAGAAGAAGUGAGGGGUGUGUGGAACUCAUGGUGUAGGGGUGAAAUCCGUUGAUAUCAUGGGGAACACCAAAAGCGAAGGCAACACACUGGCACUUUCUUGACGCUGAGGCACGAAAGCGUGGGUAGCGAACG